rnacentral:tmRNA from 1 species
GGGGUCGUACUGGAUUUGACAGCGAUAGCAGUCGUUUAGUGCAAGCAUGUCGAGCAAUGUGGUGAAGCUCGUAAAUAUCUAGUCACAAACUAUAAUUGACAAUACGUCUUUUAGACUUGCUGCCUAAUUUGUUAGACAAAUUAAGCUUUAUUGAGCGGAAGUAUAGUACGCCAACGAGUUCCUUCUCCUUUGCUUCAGUCUGUUAAGCGAGGAACCAGAAGGACCAUAAAUUACAGAAUAGAGCUAACGAUUCUUCUAAGUUAGUUCGAGAUUGAGAAGAUAAGUGUAACUAUUGGGUGUCUUUGUCCGAGGUUCCAUCGAAAAUCUAAUCAAAGAAUAAGCAUGUAGAAAGCUGAAUUAUUCGUCGUUUGGACGAGGGUUCGAAACCCUCCGACUCCACAG